rnacentral:rRNA from 1 species
GUCCACGCCGUAAACGUUGGGCACUAGGUGUGGGGAUCUAUCGACGGUUUCCGUGCCGAAGCUAACGCAUUAAGUGCCCCGCCUGGGGAGUACGGCCGCAAGGCUAAAACUCAAAGGAAUUGACGGGGCCCGCACAAGCGGCGGAGCAUGUGGCUUAAUUCGAUGCAACGCGAAGAACCUUACCAAGGCUUGACAUGCUGGGUAAUCCGUGGAAACACGGUGAUCCUUCGGGAUCCAGCGCAGGUGGUGCAUGGCUGUCGU